CACACCGUAAACGUUGGGCGCUAGGUGUGGGGCCUAUUCCAUGGGUUCCGUGCCGCAGCUAACGCAUUAAGCGCCCCGCCUGGGGAGUACGGCCGCAAGGCUAAAACUCAAAGGAAUUGACGGGGGCCCGCACAAGCGGCGGAGCAUGCGGAUUAAUUCGAUGCAACGCGAAGAACCUUACCUGGGUUUGACAUAUGCCGGAAAGCCCCAGAGAUGGGGCCCCUUUUAGUCGGUAUACAGGUGG
rnacentral:rRNA from 1 species